ACUGAGAGCAUCUACUAAGCCUGACCAUAUGCACAAAUUAUGUCCUAUUACUCCAAUCCUACACAUAUACUCAGUAUUGUCACAUAAGAGGAGCUUAUUAAGGAGCAACAGUGAUAUUCUAAAACUGGACACUAUUCAUCAUCAGAAUUGAAAUUAAACAGUGUCACAGGAAAAUAUAUGACAAAUGGUGCUGGACUUGUGUCUAAUAGUGAACGUUUGAAAACAAACCACGAAGGAG
rnacentral:lncRNA from 1 species